UACGUAGGGGCCUAGCGUUGUCCGGAUUUAUUGGGCGUAAAGAGCUCGUAGGCGGCACGGUUAGUCAGGUGUGAAAUCUCCACGCUCAACGUGGAGGGGUCACCUGAUACUGCCGAGCUUGAGUCCGGUAGGGGAGUGUGGAAUUCCCGGUGUAGCGGUGAAAUGCGCAGAUAUCAGGAAGAACACCUAUGGCGAAGGCAGCUCUCUGGGACGGUACUGACGCUGAGACGCGAAAGCGUGGGGAGCGAACAGG
rnacentral:rRNA from 1 species